rnacentral:rRNA from 2 species
AGAGUUUGAUCCUGGCUCAGGACGAACGCUGGCGGCGCGCCUAACACAUGCAAGUCGAACGAGCGAGAGAGAGCUUGCUUUCUCGAGCGAGUGGCGAACGGGUGAGUAACGCGUGAGGAACCUGCCUCAAAGAGGGGGACAACAGUUGGAAACGACUGCUAAUACCGCAUAAGCCCACAGGUCGGCAUCGACCAGAGGGAAAAGGAGCAAUCCGCUUUGAGAUGGCCUCGCGUCCGAUUAGCUAGUUGGUGAGGUAACGGCCCACCAAGGCAACGAUCGGUAGCCGGACUGAGAGGUUGAACGGCCACAUUGGGACUGAGACACGGCCCAGACUCCUACGGGAGGCAGCAGUGGGGAAUAUUGCACAA